rnacentral:rRNA from 1 species
UACAGAGGAGCCAAGCGUUGUCCGGAUUGACUGGGCGUAAAGCGCACGCAGGCGGCUGCGCGCGUGGGGUGUGAAAUCUGGCCGCUUAACGGCCAGGCGCCAUCCCAUACGGCGCGGCUGGAGUGAUGCAGAGGUCGGUGGAAUUGCCGGUGUAGUGGUGAAAUGCGUAGAGAUCGGCAGGAACACCCAGGGGGAAACCAGCCGACUGGGCGAUC